GACAGAGGUGCCAAGCGUUAGGCGGAAUCACUGGGCUUAAAGCGUGUGUAGGCGGACCUGUAAGUGCCUUGUGAAAUCCCAUGGCUCAACCAUGGAACGGGCUGGGGCAUACUGCGGGUCUGAGCGUGUCUAGGGGCAACCGGAACAAACGGGUGGAGCGGUGAAAUGCGUAGAUAUCGUUUGGAACGCCAAAGGUGAAAACAGGUUGCUGGGGACAUGCUGACGCUGAGACACGAAAGCCAGGGGAGCGAAACGGGG
rnacentral:rRNA from 1 species